GGUCCAGGCUAUAGUUUUCACACUGUGAGGAGAAUAAUAAUAAUAAUAAUAAUAAUAAUAUAAUAAUAUAAUAUUAUACCGCCUGAAGGAUUAAAUAUAGGAACAGAAUACGCUGUGUGAAGAAUUACAGUAAUGAAAGUCCAUUUUUCAGCGGUGGAUAAUGUGUGUGUGUGUGUAGCGCCGAAGUUGAGAACCCCCUCUCCCAUCACCAGGAAGGUGGUGGAAAGUGCAGCGACUCGGUUCCGAUACAUCAGCUCACAGACUCCUCGUGCUGCAGACAUCGCCCUUUAGAGUGACGUGGAGAGAGAGCGCCAUCUAACCACCCCAAUUGUGCUCUCUCAGGGCUCCGGUAGCCAAUUGGAAGCUACAUGAACAGGAUUCGAACUGGCAAUCACCUGAUCAUAGUGACAGCACUCAGCUUGUUGGACCACUCGGAGCCCGAAUAUCUCUAUUUUGUUGUUUUUUUAGUUUUUGACAUAAUUUAAAUACAUAAACUCUCUCCUACACUGUGUCAAAAUUUCUUAAUCAAUGGACAAAUAUAAAAUCUCUAAAAUUACCUAAAAUACACUCUUUAUACAUUGAUUUCCAUUGAAAUUUAAGAGUGUUAUCUCCCUCCUGUAAAGUUGCUGUUUUGAAGAUACCUGGUUUACAAUGGACACUGAUAAAAUGUAGGUUGGAUUACACAAAUAGACUUUGUUAAAAAUUUCAGAAAUGGAAAAAUCUGAAAACUGAAAUAUAUAUAUAUAUUUUUAUCCAUUUCAGACUGUGAGGGGCAGAAAGAAAAAACUUGAAAAUUGGAAAAAUAAAUAAAACCAUUUUCUCCUUUACUUACAAAUAAUUUUAUACAUUUUCAAUAGAGGACAAAGAAGUUCAAGGCAGAAAAAUUUUUGACAGGGCCUAAAGGAGGCAAAGGUGAAUAGUGGGAUAGAGGAGGAAAGGAGGGGGAGCAGGAAAUGAGGUUAGAGGAAGUUAGUUAGUUAGAGAGGUUAAAGGUAACGAGAAAUGCUCCUGCUCUGGUAGUGGAAUGUAGUUUAUUCUACUAUUGGGGAAAUAUGUAUGAGAACAGUCUGAAUUACUUUGUGUGAAUGCUUGGUUAAAGCUUUACUAUAUCAAAUGGAAAAAAUAUAUAUUAAAUGUUAACCCCCCCACCCAAAUUAGCUAUUCAAAUUUAUCCUAAAACGGUCAGAAAAUUAGCCUAAUAAACGUAACACUGACCCUUAAAGGUAAACACUCUAUUCAAAAGAAAUCAGUUACAGAUAUCAUGUUCCAACACAAGAGGGCAUUACUUAUGUCUAUGUAACAAAGCCUAUCUUCGAAGCCAGAAGGGCCCAGGAAUUUCACAAUGUGGUUUAAACUUUCCACAUGACUUUGCAUUACAGUUGACUCAGAACUGCUGUUUUGGCCAGCAAGCAUUAACUGUUGUGCAAUAUCCUGCGUUCAAGAAAGAAGGCUGUUUUAGUUAAGUGAGAAUUAUGUGUAGUCCAGUCAGAAUAUUUUGACCAGCUCUGUUUACAAUAUAAAUGCACUUUCUAGUUAGUCCUAUGAAUGUUUCUUCAUACAUGGAGGUUUUAAACACUUAAGAAUAUUCCAUCAACCAGAAAUAACCAGCAAACAGCGUCCUGUGGGCAGCGUCCCGAUGAAGGACUAGAGCAGGGGUCUCAAACUCAUUUUUGCCGAGGGCCACAUUGGCAUAUUGGCUGUCCUCUGAGGGCCAGAUGUAACUUAUAAAUAUAAGAAAAUGUAACCAGAUGUAAUACAAAAUGAAUGUAAUUACUCCUUAAUGUUAAAUAACUCUCAAUAUACUAUUUAUUCAAUCAAAUAUUACAGUUGCAUGGAAAAAUUGUUGCUUGUUGCUCUAUUAACAUAAAUCCUUUUAAUUUAUAAGUUAUAUUAACUUUGAUCAAAACGUUUGAUACUGAAAUAAGGCUUAAUAAAUAUAAAAUCAAAAAUUGUGAGCUGUGACAGAUUUAGCAUUUCCUCAGAUUUAGCAGUUCCUCAUCCAACCACUAGUCGGAGCUGCAGCUGCAGCACCACAAGCCCGCAGUCUUUGCUUAGUCAGAGCUGCAGCCCAGCCACGGGCUACAGGGCUCCGCUGAGCCAGUCUGGAGCGUUUUUAAAAAUUUGUAAGUUCUUCUGUGUAUGAAAUAAAAUAACCCCACUAACCGGAUAAUACAGCUCUCUACAGUUCAUCUUUCAGCCCAAGCAGCUAACAGCAGCAGUUUAGAGCAGCGUCACGGAGGCACUGCUCGGAUUACAUUAUAAACAGGUCAGUUAGCGCGCUGCUAACCUCAGGAUGUUUAUAACUACGGAGUUUAGUGGACACACCACGGCUGCAAGGUUAGACUGUUGAAGGCUACUGAAGACUACUAAAGCAGGCAACGCAGCGUAAGCAAAAAAAAAAACAAAAACCACACACACACACCAAAAUACAAGUUAAGAUAAAAUAUGAAAA